AGUGAACGCUGGCGGUAGGCCUAACACAUGCAAGUCGAACGGCAGCACAGUAAGAUCUUGCUCUUACCGUUGGCGACUGGCGGACGGGUGAGGAAUACAUCGGAAUCUACUUUUUCGUGGGGGAUAACGUAGGGAAACUUACGCUAAUACCUCAUACGACCUACGGGUUAAAUCAGUGGAUCUUCGCACCUUGCGCGAUUCAAUUAGCCGAUGUCGGAUUAGCUAGUUGGCGGGGUAAAGGCCCACCAAGGCGACGAUCCGUAGCUGGUCUGAGAGGAUGAUCAGCCACACUGGAACUGAGACACGGUCCAGACUCCUACGGGAGGCAGCAGUGGGGAAUAUUGGACAAUGGGCGCAAGCCUGAUCCAGCCAUACCGCGUGGGUGAAGAAGGCCUUCGGGUUGUAAAGCCCUUUUGUUGGGAAAGAAAAGCAGCAGGUUAAUACCCCGCUGUUCUGACGGUACCCAAAGAAUAAGCACCGGCUAACUUCGUG
rnacentral:rRNA from 1 species